UAGGGAAUAUUAGUAAUGGGCGAAAGCCUCAACUAGCAACGCCGCGUGUGCGAAGAAGGCCUUCGGGUUGUAAAGCACUUUUUGAGAGGAUGAGGAAGGACGGUACUCUCAGAAUAAGUCUCGGCUAACUACGUGCCAGCAGCCGCGGUAACACGUAGGAGGCGAACGUUAUCCGGAUUUACUGGGCGUAAAGCGCGUGUAGGUGGUUUGGUAAGUAGGGCGUGAAAGCUCCUGGCUCAACUGGGAGAGGCCGUUCUAAACUGCCGAACUAGAGGAUGGUAGAGGGAGGUGGAAUUCCGGGUGUAGCGGUGGAAUGCGCAGAUAUCCGGAGGAACACCAGUGGCGAAAGCGGCCUCCUGGACCAUUCCCGACACUCAGACGCGAAAGCUAGAGUAGCAAACGG
rnacentral:rRNA from 1 species